GGAUAUUUUUAUUGUUGAUUCCUAUGUUGUCCCAACAUGGCUGCCUCCCACAAGCUGUGACCCAAUGGCCUCCUUACCUAGGGAUUCUGGUACCAAGGACAUACUUUUCAUUCCCAUCUGGAUUCCUGGGCAUUUUGUACUUUGUGUUUUGAAGCCGACACAGAGAGAGAUAUUUUUCCUUGACUCCAUGUACCAUAAAAAAAUUUGGAUUUUCUGCUGUCCAGUACAUGGAACUGUUGAUGUUAAAGCUUGAGUUUAAAGGAGUUUAAGUUCCUUGGUCCAGUUCCAGGAUCAUUAAUAUGACCACGUUCUACUGGUCAUUUUCUGCAUGUAAGUUCCCAAAAACAGGUCACGUUCUUUGACCUGAUUACUAGGCUGGAUUAUAUUUGAUUUCUGCAAUGCUUGCUUGCUCCAUAUAAAACAUGAUAUGUACAUGAUUCAUGAUGUGUGACAUCAUUACCAACAAAUAUUGUGGGCAGCAGUGUCUCAUUCCAAGCACGAAAUAAAACUUUUUGUAGUUUUAUUUAAACAAUUAUGUAGUAAUUGUAAUUAUUUGUGCUAACUGCUGGUUCCUUAGACUGCUAUAACAACUUCUCAAACAGCCCCCUGCUGCACUUAGCUUUUAAUCCUCCACAUGAACUAAACUAAUUGUGCAAUUAUGUACAUGUGGCACCCAGGAGUAUUUGUUUAUAGAAAGGCAGCCCUUCAACAACGGUUCAGUUAAUUAUUUUGUUGUAUUUUGUGUUUUCAUUGUUUUUGCUGUGUGGCACACCCUCACACUGGCUUGCAUGAACAGUAACCUCUGGUGCUAUACCCUUUUUGCGCCAGAGGGGGCAGUAAUGGCGCCUGGGAGACAGAGAGACUGACUGCGAACCGUAGAAGCAGCUCAGAUCGAGCGCGAGCUACGUUCAGCAGUCAGCACGGCGCAGCCUUUAUGUUUGAUUAUUAUUUUCUGUGAUUACAGGUGAGUUAAGUGCACAAGCAUUAAAUCGAACGUGUUCUUGGUAAUAUUUGUAAGUUUAAUGACUAUUUUUUGUUGGUUUCGAUUAUACUUUUAGAUCGUUUGUAUAGUAGAAGCAGCUCAGAUCGUGCGCGAGCUACGUUCAGCAGUCAGCACGGCGCAGCCUUUAUGUUUGAUUAUUAUUUUCUGUGAUUACAGAAUAAAAGCCGACCUGUUACACCCCAGCCAAAUGCUUUUGUCGUAACGUGUGUAACACAGGCGCCACAGGAAAGGAGGAACCGCACGUGAUUUUGGUGUUCAUGGCCCUUGUGUUGAUGUGAGCUGCCCCGGCCUUUUUAUUGUCCACGUGUGAACUUUAGCCGGGUGUUUUAGCUGGGUGUGAAGUGUUUUAGAGAUUGCUGUGCUGAGAUCAUUGUGGGGGGCUUGCGGUGCUGCCUGGGUGCUCCAUUCACUUAUUGAGGCAGCGACACUGAAUUGUGGAAUCCUGGUAAUAAAGGCUUAUUACUAGACUUUUGUUGUGAGCUGUUUCUUAUGCCUGGUGCUCAGUAUAGUCGAGUUAUUAACCUGCAUCAUUGGGGAAAAGUGAUCCUCUCUUACAAUUACAUUGUGUUGAUUACAUUAUGUUUACAUUGUAAUGAUUACAUCAUGGAUAUUUGGCAUACAUUUUAAUAAUAUCAUAAUACUUGUAUUCUACGUUAUAUAGUGCUAAAUAAUAUUCCAUAAGAGCAGCUUCACUCCUGAGUCUCCUGGGUGAUUGUAGCUCAGGUCCAGCUCUCUCAGGUGUGAGGGGUUUGACCUCAGAGCUGAAGCCAGGGAAGAACAGCCUUCUUCUGUGACUCUACAGCCUGCAGAGAGACGGACAAAAACACUCUGAUAAAUAAGAUCACAUCACCAAUACAAGUAUUAUUU